UUAAUUACGUGCCAGCGGCCGCGGUAAUACGUAGGGUCCGAGCGUUAUCCGGAGUGGCUGGGCGUAAAGAGUUGCGUAGGUGGUUUGUUAAGUAGAUAGUGAAAUCUGGCGGCUCAACCGUACAGGCUAUUAUCUAAACUGACAAACUCGAGAAUGGUAGAGGUAACUGGAAUUUCUUGUGUAGGAGUGAAAUCCGUAGAUAUAAGAAGGAACACCAAUGGCGUAGGCAGGUUACUGGACCAUUUCUGACACUGAGGCACGAAAGCGUGGGGAGCGAACCGGAUUAGAUACCCCUGUAGUC
rnacentral:rRNA from 1 species